GGGCAACGCUGCGCUUCCUGCAGUCGACGAUGACCUCACUUGUGGGGGGAUUAGUGGCGAACGGGUGAGUAACACGUGAGUAACCUGCCCUUGACUCUGGGAUAAGCCUGGGAAACCGGGUCUAAUACUGGAUACGACCUUCUGGCGCAUGCCAUGUUGGUGGAAAGCUUUUGUGGUUUUGGAUGGACUCGCGGCCUAUCAGCUUGUUGGUGGGGUAAUGGCCUACCAAGGCGACGACGGGUAGCCGGCCUGAGAGGGUGACCGGCCACACUGGGACUGAGACACGGCCCAGACUCCUACGGGAGGCAGCAGUGGGGAAUAUUGCACAAUGGGCGCAAGCCUGAUGCAGCGACGCCGCGUGAGGGAUGAAGGCCUUCGGGUUGUAAACCUCUUUCAGUAGGGAAGAAGCCGGUCUUUUGGGUUGGUGACGGUACCUGCAGAAGAAGCGCCGGCUAACUACGUGCCAGCAGCCGCGGUAAUACGUAGGGCGCAAGCGUUAUCCGGAAUUAUUGGGCGUAAAGAGCUCGUAGGCGGUUUGUCGCGUCUGCCGUGAAAGUCCGGGGCUUAACUCCGGAUCUGCGGUGGGUACGGGCAGACUAGAGUGCAGUAGGGGAGACUGGAAUUCCUGGUGUAGCGGUGAAAUGCGCAGAUAUCAGGAGGAACACCGAUGGCGAAGGCAGGUCUCUGGGCUGUAACUGACGCUGAGGAGCGAAAGCAUGGGGAGCGAACAGGAUUAGAUACCCUGGUAGUCCAUGCCGUAAACGUUGGGCACUAGGUGUGGGGGACAUUCCACGUUUUCC
rnacentral:rRNA from 1 species